rnacentral:lncRNA from 1 species
GUGAUUUGUGUUUAAGACAUAUUAAAAGAUAAUGGUAAGAAAAUCACACAAGAAAGUUAUCAUGAUUUGUCCAAUGUGGGCUUGUCCAAUCCCCAAUUUUUUUGUGAGAUUAUCCAUUAUAGUUUCCAACUAUCAUAGACUCUUUAGAUAAAUAACAAUGCUCUUUUCUUUAUUACACUAGAUCAGUUUCUUACACUCUUUAUUACCAACCUCAUUAGACUUUAUAAUUCCUAAUUUGCUUUCGC